ACCCUGGACAAGAAUGCAAACAACGAUAUAUAUUUAUUUACUAAUACUACACAAAACAUAUCAUCGCGCACACACGCAUAUAAUUUCACACACAUUACUCCCACAGCAUCUGUCCACCCAGCACAAGACACACCGAUUCAUACUUCUCACACUACAUGUACACCUCACGAAAAUGAACACUUGUACUACACUAAUGAUAUAUAUACUGAGUUGCAGGGUACUUCGCGCCCAUGGACAACGCAGGGGCACACGCAGCAUCAGGUUCCAUCAGGAGCGUCUAUCUUACGAGCAAUAUGAAGAGCGGCUAUCUUAUGGCCAACAUGCACGAAUAACACAGAAGGCGGACAAUCAGUAUGUCUUUGGAAAACAACGAUCGUUGGGAGCGCAUGGAAAAGAGACUUACGAAGAUGGCCUCAGUGGCCUCAACGUUCAGAGUUCCAAAUACAGAUGCAAGACGCUCUUCGGACAGCGAAGGAACGACACCGCCACAGAGGACAUAAUCAACGUAGAACGGCAGCCGGCCCAAGGAUACAGCGCGACUUAUGGAGCGACGAGCGUGCAGACGAGGAAGAGGAGCAGGACCAGCAAGACCCGACAUAAGAUGCAUGGGACGAGGAUGAGGUCGAAGACAACACUCACGGUCGCAGGAGAUCGAGAGAGAGAGAGAGGGAGAGGGAGAGGGAGAGCGAGAGAGAGAGGGGGAGAGGGA